rnacentral:rRNA from 1 species
GACGAACGCUGGCGGCGUGCUAACACAUGCCAGUCGCACGGAAAGGCCCUGCUUUUGUGGGGUGCUCGAGUGGCGAACGGGUGAGUAACACGUGAGUAACCUGCCCUUGACUUUGGGAUAACUUCAGGAAACUGGGGCUAAUACCGGAUAGGAGCUCCUGCUGCAUGGUGGGGGUUGGAAAGUUUCGGCGGUUGGGGAUGGACUCGCGGCUUAUCAGCUUGUUGGUGGGGUAGUGGCUUACCAAGGCUUUGACGGGUAGCCGGCCUGAGAGGGUGACCGGCCACAUUGGGACUGAGAUACGGCCCAGACUCCUACGGGAGGCAGCAGUGGGGAAUAUUGCACAAUGGGCGGAAGCCUGAUGCAGCAACGCCGCGUGCGGGAUGACGGCCUUCGGGUUGUAAACCGCUUUCGCCUGUGACGAAGCGUGAGUGACGGUAAUGGGUAAAGAAGCACCGGCUAACUACGUG